CAUUGCGAGAGGAAUACCAUCAGAGAGUCUCAACUCUUGAAAAGAAGGUAUAUGCUCUUACUAAGGAGAGGGACACACUUAGGAGGGAGCAAAGUAGAAAAAGUGAUGUGGCUGCUCUUUUGAAGGAAAAAGAUGAAAUAAUUAAUCAAGUUAUGGCAGAAGGCGAGGAGCUUUCAAAGAAGCAGGCUUCUCAAGAAUCUCAGAUUAGAAAAUUAAGGGCCCAGAUCAGAGAGCUUGAAGAAGAG
rnacentral:misc_RNA from 1 species